CGAGGAAUGUAGAGACUCAAGAAAAUGUAGCAAUCAAGAUUCUUGAUAAAGAAAAAGUUUUGAAGCACAAGAUGAUUAGUCAGAUUAAACGCGAAAUUUCAACCAUGAAACUCAUUAAACACCCAAAUGUCAUCCGUAUGUUUGAGGUGAUGGCUAGCAAAACAAAAAUUUAUAUUGUUCUAGAAUUCGUGACUGGUGGGGAACUUUUUGACAAUAUUGCUCGCAGGGGGAGAUUAAAGGAAGAUG